ensembl:lncRNA
AUGCAAGUGCAUGAUGAUGGGAUUCAGGUUCAGGAUGAGUUUCAAGAUGACUCUGAUGGGAAUUAUGGGAAUUAUGGGAUUCAGGUUCAAGAUGAUGGGAUUCAGGUUCAGAGUGUUCCUGCUGUGGGAGAUGAGGAGCAGGGAGGCUUUCCCACAGCAGGAAAUGGUGCUGUUGAUACUGAAGAUGAUACUGAAGUUAGCCAGGUGCAAAUUGACUCAGGAAGGGAGGACAGCUCCCAGUCAGAUAGCAUGCAGACAGAGGUUAGUGCUAACGAGCUGUCUGGCCUUGAUGAGACAGAAUCUUUAGAUAGAGCUGGCCGUUUGGAAUUCCGGGUUCGCAGAAGUGUUAGAACAGCAAAUAAGAGGAAGGUCAGAGGCCAAAGAAAUGCUUUCAUGUUAUGCAAAGAGUAUUAAAAGAGUGUGCUGAGAAAGAAACUUUGUCAAAGCUACUUCUUGUUUGAGUCAAGAAGAAAGCUCUUGCUUUCCCAAAUUAUCUUGCAGUCUUGGUGUAUUCAAGUUCAUGGGACUUUGUCAUGCAUUAAUGAACCUUGUUUCAUGCUUAAUGUUUUCUUGGAUUAUUCUUUAUAGCCUUGAUUUGCAACAAUCUUUUGGAACUUUACUUUUGCUUUUAAAGAACUAUUUAUUUCCUAUUUCCUAAUAAACUACAAAAGACUUCAACCUGUGUGCAGCCUGGUGUAUUUAGCAAGGUGAAGCUAACCUGAGGUGCGACAUUGUCUUGGAACUCUGCUUCACACUCCUGAGUAGAGUACAAUUUCUGUAUCAAUUCCUGGACUUAUUAUAGAAAUGAGAGACUGUAGAAAUUAAUUUCUUCUGCUGAAAGCUAUCAUAGAGAUACCUUGGAAGUCCUGAAGAGGUAUCUUCCCAAAGAUUUGCUAGGUCCUCCAAGGUGACUCUAUGAUAACUUCCUAUUGAAGCAUACUAUAGAAUCAUCUGGAGGACAUAGAAAGUUCCAAGAGAGGAUGCAGGUAGGAAAAACCAUGGAUACCAGUCCUGCGAGUGCAGGAAUUUUACUCACAGACAUUUUGUGUCAGACCAAAAUGUUCACACUUGAGCAUUGUGAAUGAAAAUGUGUAUGCUGUACAUGAAUGUCUGUCCAGUGCUCACUGAGAUACAAAAACUGUCCAGACCCUCUUAGAAAACCGCAGCUUCUAUGUGCCCAAGGCCUGUUUGGCUAACUUCUGGAGGGCAAACAUCCUCCAGGUGGAGAGGCUCCGGCUCUGGUUGAAACGGCGGAAAUCCCAUGUUUUCCUCUUCGUCUGCCACAAUAGUACUAGGAACAGGACUACAAGGCCCAUGAGUCAUCACACAGGUGGACAUAGCACUGAAUGAAACAUGCAGAAUCAUCACAGGAUGCCUUAAACCUACACCUGUUGAUAAACUCUACAAGUUAGCUGGCAUUGCCCCUCCUGACGUGCGACAGGAAGUUGCUGCUAACGGUGAGAGAAAAAAGGUCGAACAUUGUGAAAGCCACCCACUGCAUGGCUAUCACCCUCCUCCCACCAGACUCAAAUCAAGAAAGGGCUUCAUGAGAACCACCACUCCUCUUGAUGUUCCUCCAGCAGCAGCAAGGGUGUCCCUCUGGGCAGCUAAACCUGGCAAUUCUAACUGGAUGGCCCCCCAAGAGGGUCUUCCUCCAGGGGCAAACCAAGAAUGGGCAACUUGGAAGUCCCUGAACAGACUCAGAAGUGGAGUGGGCAGAUCUAAAGACAACUCGGCACAAUGGCACUACCUGGAGGAAUCCUCCACCUUGUGUGACUGUGGAGCUGAACAAACAACUCCGCAUAUGUAUGCUUGCCCACAAUGCCCUGCCUCAUGUACGGAGGAGGAGUUGUUUAAAGCUACAGACAAUGCGGUUGCUGUUGCCCACUUUUGGUCCAAAACUAUUUAGUUGCUUGUGAUUUCUUUUUCUUUUUUUCCCCAUUAUUUGAAAUGUAUUUGUUGUACAAUGCUUUUGACACGAAAUAAAUAAACUGAGAUACAGAAUUGCAUUUGAUUCUGCUCCUUCAUUACCAGGUUGGAUGGCAGUGUUGCUCAAAUGCUCUGUAACUCCAUUUAUUACUCAUUUGAAGGGCAAACUAUCAGGAUUCUGGCCCAAAUGCUCUUCUUUGUGCAAUUUUGUACAUUGUGGAGAAAGGAAUGCCUAUUUCUCUGAGAAGCAUCACCCUUCCUCAGAAACGGGCUGGUAAUCCAAAGCAGGAGAUGCAGACCAGUGGAAAAUCCAUAAAUCAUUCUACUGCAAAGUAGUGGGUAGCAGCAAUAGAUAAGGAGAGUGAUCUUCACAAAAGAGAGCUGUGACUUUUUGAGUUUUUUCAAGAGUCUGUCUUGAUGGGCUUCACUUGACUUAACUCCAUGAGAAGAGGCUUAAUUGGUCUUUGUAUGAUGUGUGUGGACAGCAGAUUAGGCAAGACAUAUAUGCCAUUAACACAGCAUCUCUCUGAAGGGCAGACUUCAUCCAC